rnacentral:rRNA from 1 species
UACGUAGGGUGCGAGCGUUAAUCGGAAUUACUGGGCGUAAAGCGUGCGCAGGCGGUUCGUUGUGUCGGCGGUGAAAUCCCCGGGCUCAACCUGGGAAUGGCCGUUGAAACUGGCGAACUGGAGUGUGGCAGAGGGGGGGUGGAAUUCCACGUGUAGCAGUGAAAUGCGUAGAGAAUGUGGAGGAACACCGAUGGCGAAGGCAGCCCCCCUGGGUCAAGAUUGACGCUCAUGCACGAAAGCGUGGGGAGCAAACAGG